AUUAUGAUGUACUUGCGGAAAAUCCAGAGAGUUGUCUAGAAAGACAUUGGAAUAUAGGGGUCUAGUCCACCGAGAAUUCUGGACAGGAGAAGGAAACAUGGCGGCCGUAAUAUCAUCAGGGUGAAGCGCGGGAUUCAUGUCUUAUAAAAGUGGUCCCAGAGAACUUCUCAGCUCCUCCCACCAUGUGAAGACACAGCAAGAAGACAGCCAGCAUCUAUGAACAAUGAAUCAGGCAUUAUGAGACCCCACAUCUGCUGGUGCCUUGAUCUUGGACUUCCUAGACUCCAGAAAUGCAGUGCCUUCGGCAGCAUGAGCAGCCCUCAGCAAUGGUGGGCAGCUGCACGUUCCAGAAGUCUCAGUGCCAGUUUCCAGCUGCAUCAACAGAGUUGUGUCCUUCUGGUCCCACAGACCAGCAGUGGCAGCUAAAUGUCUACAGUGGCUUCUAUUUUCUUAACUGGAGAGUGACUUAUGCACAUAAAUUCUCUUCCUGGUGCUGCUAAUUUCUUGUCUAUUAAAAAAUAACAAGAAUA